rnacentral:tRNA from 1 species
GGCUCCGUAGCUUGGAGGAAACAAGCGCCCGUCUAGCGAAUUGGAAGUCGUGGGUUCGAUUCCCACCGGAGCUC